ensembl:lncRNA
UAAGCAUUUAUUCGAGGAUGAAAUGUAAAACAAGUGUUGUUUUUUAGCGGUAUAGGGGAGAGUGUUUAAAAAUGCUCUUUUAACAGGUGUAGCUAAUUUUUCUUCCUACUAAAGAAACAGCUGAACUAAAAUAUAUAACAAGAUGAUUCGCUUUUAAAGCUGGUGGUCCCGCCAGGUGACACAAACCCCUGCGGUGUCUCCUGCAGUACCGGGGCUGCAGAAGCGGGAUGCUGAACGCUCCGCUCCUGCCUCUCGCCCGUUCCCGGCCCCGAGCGCUCCCCGCCGGUCUGAGCGCACCGCUCCGGCAGCGGCGCGAGCAUCACCUCCGCAAAUAUUUAUUUGCAGCGAUUUUCCGCUCUCAAUUAUUUAAAAUAUAAUGAAUUACGCAUAAGUACCUCGCUAUUAGGGUAAUUCCAGGUCUUAAUUGCUGCUAGCGCGGCUCCCGCCGUUCUGCCGGGAGGUGGCGCCGCGGGCCCGGCGCUGCUGCCGGAGCCGCCGGGGCCGGGGACCGGGACUGGGGGAGAGGCUGAGCUCAGCGCGGUUCGCCCCGCGGUACCGCUGCUGACAGAGUGUGAAACUAUCGUCCCGGCCCCGGGUCCGUCCUGCGGGCAGCCACGCGCGAUCGCCCAAAAAGCAGGCAGGGAAGGAAGCCGGGCGGGUCAAGGAAAGAGUUUUUUCCCCGAACGAGUCGGUCGCUCGGUAACUUCGCGGCCGCCCGCUGACUCCCGCCCGCAGCGCCGGCCAGGACGCGCUCCUUCCCCGCGGGGCACCCGACCACCGAGCCCCGUCCCCGUCCCGUGGGCGCCGCGGUGCUGCCGGCAGCGGGCCGGGGUCCCGGGCAGAGCAGGGCGAGGGGCUGCCCGGCGGGACCGCUCUCCUCGCCCGCUCCGGCCGCUGUCAAUGGGGGCCCCCGCGCCGCUGAGGUUCCAAAUCCGCGCUAAGGCAAUCGGUGCUGUUAAAAUUCGCGAUGCGCGAGUGCCGGAGCCCCGGGGCUGGGGCAGCCGGGUGGUCCCGGCUCUGCCCCCGCUCGCGUUCGCCCCGCGGGCGCUGCCGCCCCUCUCCUCGGGAGCCCCGACGGCGCGGCCGCUCCGCGCACCCACCGAGAUGCGGAGCCACCCCCGCGGAGCGGCUCCGGGCGGGCACCCAGCCCCGUCCCCGGGACGGUCAGUCCCGCUCAGCGGCCGGUGCGCGCCGCUGCGCACCCGCGCACUGUGUCUAAGCCGUGUUUGCGCCCACAGCGGCGGGCGCUGCGGGGAGAACGCGGGCAGCGCCCGCCUCGCCGCUCCGCGCAGAGUAGCGUGUUUUCACACCCGGCGAGCGCUUCGGCAGAGAUGUGAUAUGCAGGAGAAGCCAGGAAGCAUUUGCUAGGUGGAAUUCAGAGACGCUGUGCGCUAGAGAUCAGCAGCGUCUUUGAGACCGUUCUUAGAGGUCCUGGCAAGCAAACUUUAUUCCAGAGCUUCGAAAGGUAUGGCCAGGCUGGGAGCGCUUAACGUCGUGCCACCGAGGACGCGCGUCAGCGCCGGCCGUGCUGAGGCACAGCGGUGUUCAAAUCGUGAGUCUGAUUGUUUUUCUGUUGGCCAGAGCCUUGUGGAGUGUCUCGUUGCGAGAAGAGCCAGAGAAGAUCUCGUGGCUGCUGGAGGUGGUUGGUUUUGCGCUGACAGAAGCGCUGCUCGCAGCCUGCUCGCUGUGCGGUUCCAUCCCGCAGCUCGCUGUGCUGGGAACGGCAGCUCCUGCAGGUAACAAGGUGAUGCCAGUGUAGAGAGAGGGGGGGAAAAAUCCAGCGUGGAAUAAACCAUGCAGUCCUUAGAGGAGAAAGUUAAUU